rnacentral:rRNA from 1 species
UGGGGAAUUUUGCGCAAUGGGGGAAACCCUGACGCAGCAACGCCGCGUGGAGGAUGAAGUCCCUUGGGACGUAAACUCCUUUCGAUCGGGACGAUUAUGACGGUACCGGAAGAAGAAGCCCCGGCUAACUUCGUGCCAGCAGCCGCGGUAAUACGAGGGGGGCGAGCGUUGUUCGGAAUUAUUGGGCGUAAAGGGCGCGUAGGCGGUUGGAUAAGUCUUGUGUGAAAUCUUCGGGCUCAACUCGAAGUCUGCACGAGAAACUAUCUGGCUUGAGUGUGGGAGAGGUGAGUGGAAUUCCUGGUGUAGCGGUGAAAUGCGUAGAUAUCAGGAGGAACACCUGUGGCGAAAGCGGCUCACUGGACCACAACUGACGCUGAGGCGCGAAAGCUAGGGGAGCAAACA